rnacentral:tRNA from 1 species
GCCUUGGUAGUACAAUGGUUAAGUACUGGCUGCUAACCAAAAGGUUGGUGGUUCCAAUUCACCCGGUGGCU